AGACGUAGGGGGCGAGCGUUGUCCGGAAUUACUGGGCGUAAAGCGCACGUAGGCGGAUAUUUAAGUCAGGUGUGAAAGACCGCAGCUCAACUGCGGGGUUGCACCUGAAACUGGGUAUCUUGAGGGCAGGAGAGGGAAGUGGAAUUCCUGGUGUAGCGGUGAAAUGCGUAGAAAUCAGGAGGAACACCAGUGGCGAAGGCGGCUUCCUGGCACAAUACUGACGCUCAUGUGCGAAAGCUAGGGCAGCGAACGGGAUUAGAUACCCCGGUAGUCCUAGCCGUAAACGAUGGAUACUAGGUGUGGGUGUCGCAGGGCAUCCGUGCCGCAGUUAACGCGUUAAGUAUCCCGCCUGGGACUACGGUCGCAAGACUGAA
rnacentral:rRNA from 1 species